AUCGCUUCUCGGCCUUUUGGCUAAGAUCCAGUGUAGUAUCUGUUCUUAUCAGUUUAAUAUCUGAUAUGGCCCUUAUCUGGGGACCUGUAUAUUAAAUUGAUUUUUGAGACAGGUGGAUGGAAUAGGGGCUUUCUCUGUCUGCUCCACGCCUUGACUCAGUAUUGCAGUAUAUCUGGCAACGGUGCACCUCCC